rnacentral:rRNA from 1 species
GUAGGUGGCAAGCGUUGUCCGGAAUUAUUGGGCGUAAAGCGCGCGCAGGCGGUUCUUUAAGUCUGAUGUGAAAGCCCACGGCUCAACCGUGGAGGGUCAUUGGAAACUGGAGAACUUGAGUACAGAAGAGGAAAGCGGAAUUCCACGUGUAGCGGUGAAAUGCGUAGAGAUGUGGAGGAACACCAGUGGCGAAGGCGGCUUUCUGGUCUGUAACUGACGCUGAGGCGCGAAAGCGUGGGGAGCAAACAGGGAUUAGAUACCCUGGUAGUCCACGCCGUAAACGAUGAGUGCUAAGUGUUAUGGGGUUUCCGCCCCCCUUAGUGCUGCAGCUAACGCAUUAAGCACUCCGCCUGGGAGUACGGCCGCAAGGCUG